rnacentral:rRNA from 1 species
AUUGAACGCUGGCGGCAGGCUUAACACAUGCAAGUCGAGCGGGGUGAUGGUGCUUGCACUAUCACUUAGCGGCGGACGGGCGAGUAAUGCUUAGGAAUCUGCCUAUUAGUGGGGGACAACAUCUCGAAAGGGAUGCUAAUACCGCAUACGUCCUACGGGAGAAAGCAGGGGAUCACUUGUGACCUUGCGCUAAUAGAUGAGCCUAAGUCGGAUUAGCUAGUUGGUGGGGUAAAGGCCUACCAAGGCGACGAUCUGUAGCGGGUCUGAGAGGACGAUCCGCCACACUGGGACGGAGACACGGCCCAGACUCCUACGGGAGGCAGCAGUGGGGAAUAUUGGACAAUGGGGGGAACCCUGAUCCAGCCAUGCCGCGUGUGUGAAGAAGGCCUUAUGGUUGUAAAGCACUUUAAGCGAGGAGGAGGCUCUUUUGGUUAAUACCCAAGAUGAGUGGACGUUACUCGCAGAAUAAGCACCGGCUAACUCUGUGCCAGCCGCCGCAAUAA